GAUGAACGCUGGCGGCGUGCCUAAUACAUGCAAGUCGAGCGAACGGACGAGAAGCUUGCUUUUCUGAUGUUAGCGGCGGACGGGUGAGUAACACGUGGAUAACCUACCUAUAAGACUGGGAUAACUUCGGGAAACCGGAGCUAAUACCGGAUAAUAUUUUGAACCGCAUGGUUCAAAAGUGAAAGACGGUCUUGCUGUCACUUAUAGAUGGAUCCGCGCUGCAUUAGCUAGUUGGUAAGGUAACGGCUUACCAAGGCAACGAUGCAUAGCCGACCUGAGAGGGUGAUCGGCCACACUGGAACUGAGACACGGUCCAGACUCCUACGGGAAGCAGCAGUAGGGAAUCUUCCGCAAUGGGCGAAAGCCUGACGGAGCAACGCCGCGUGAGUGAUGAAGGUCUUCGGAUCGUAAAACUCUGUUAUUAGGGAAGAACAUAUGUGUAAGUAGCUGUGCACAUCUUGACGGUACCUAAUCAGAAAGCCACGGCUAACUACGUG
rnacentral:rRNA from 1 species